UCAGGUACAGACUUUAGAGCCAGGUCUCACCUGCUCUACCUAAGCGAGCAAACUGCGAAGAAGCUCUGGUUUGAAAGGGCUGCUGCUGCGUGACCCCCACGGCCGUGACAGCUCUCUUCUGUGAGGACCCCUGAGUGAACAAGAUGCCAUCCCGCCCACUUUCUACAGACCCUACUUCAGAAUCGUCCGCUUCGAUGUCUCAACAAUGGAGAAGAAUGCUUCAAAUCUGGUGAAGGCAGAGUUCAGGGUCUUUCGCUUGCAGAACCCCAAGGCCAGAGUGGCUGAACAACGGAUUGAACUGUAUCAGAUCCUUAAAUCCAAAGACCUAACAUCUCCAACCCAGCGCUACAUUGAUAGCAAGGUUGUGAAAACCA
rnacentral:lncRNA from 1 species